AUUGAACGCUAGCGGCAGGCCUAACACAUGCAAGUCGAACGAGUGGCGGACGGGUGCGUAAUGUCUUGGAAACUGCCCGAUGGAGGGGGCUAACUACUGGAAACGGUAGCUAAUACCGCAUACCAUCGGAUGUGCCCAGAUGGGAUUAGCUAGUAGGUGGGGUAACGGCUCACCUAGGCGACGAUCCCUAGCUGGUCUGAGAGGAUGACCAGCCACACUGGAACUGAGACACGGUCCAGACUCCUACGGGAGGCAGCAGUGGGGAAUAUUGGACAAUGGGCGCAAGCCUGAUGCAGCCAUGCCGCGUGUAUGAAGAAGGCCUUCGGGUUGUAAAGUACUUUUAGCGGGGAGGCGGUACUCGCAGAAGAAGCACCGGCUAACUCCGUGCCAGCAGCCGCGGUAAUUC
rnacentral:rRNA from 1 species